CCUACGGGAGGCAGCAGUGGGGAAUUUUCCGCAAUGGGCGAAAGCCUGACGGAGCAACGCCGCGUGAGGGAUGAAGGCCUCUGGGCUGUAAACCUCUUUUAUCAAGGAAGAAGAUCUGACGGUACUUGAUGAAUAAGCCACGGCUAAUUCCGUGCCAGCAGCCGCGGUAAUA
rnacentral:rRNA from 1 species